rnacentral:rRNA from 1 species
GGUUUCCGCCCCUUAGUGCUGCAGCUAACGCAUUAAGCACUCCGCCUGGGGAGUACGGCCGCAAGGCUGAAACUCAAAGGAAUUGACGGGGGCCCGCACAAGCGGUGGAGCAUGUGGUUUAAUUCGAAGCAACGCGAAGAACCUUACCAGGUCUUGACAUCCCGCUGCCCGCCUUAGAGAUAAGGCUUUCCCUUCGGGGACAGCGGUGACAGGUGGUGCAUGGUUGUCGUCAGCUCGUGUCGUGAGAUGUUGGGUUAAGUCCCGCAACGAGCGCAACCCUUGAUCUUAGUUGCCAGCAUUCAGUUGGGCACUCUAAGGUGACUGCCGGUGACAAACCNGGAGGAAGGUGGGGAUGACGUCAAAUCAUCAUGCCCCUUAUGACCUGGGCUACACACGUGCUACAAUGGACGGUACAAAGGGCAGCCAACCCGCGAGGGGGAGCCAAUCCCAGAAAACCGUUCUCAGUUCGGAUUGCAGGCUGCAACUCGCCUGCAUGAAGCCGGAAUCGCUAGUAAUCGCGGAUCAGCAUGCCGCGGAGAAUACGUUGCCCGGG